AUUUGAAAAUGUGGACAAUGCCGGAAGUAGUUUUGAUUACAUUAUAUACUGAAUGUGAUAUGAUUCACACAUACCUAAUGCUAGAUAGCCUAGAUAGAGUUUCCUCCAGAACUUCAAUGUGUGGAAUAUUUGGGAAAGGCAAGGUGUGCAUUGCGGUGCAUUGAAACAUCUAGGAUUAAAAUCAUAAUAAACAAUAAAAUGGCUUAAGAAUCCACAGCAGAAAGAGCUGAUUGACUAGGAUGACAGGCAAUUAUGUGGGGUCAUGUGGCCGAGUAGGAUUUGGAUAGAUGGUGAAUAAGAAGGGAGAAAAGCAGUGGAACAUUCUAGAUGGUUUCAUAUUCAUUUAAAUGGCAAUUAAACAAUCAUUUGACUGUCUAUUAAGUGCCAAAAAUUAUGUAGACACUUUAUUUUUAGGGGGUAUGCAGAAACAAGUAUAAAAGCUUUUUUAAAAAAAUAUUUUAUCCUUUAUUUUGGGUUCUGGAGUAUAGAUACUAAUUUGUUAUACAGGUAAACUCAUGACUCAGGAGUUUGGGAUACAGUUCUUUUGUCACCCAGGUACUAAGCAUAGUACCCAACAGUUGCUGUUGUUGUGGUGUUGGUGGUUGUGGUUUUUCUGAACCUCUCCUUCCUUCCACCCCCUCCUUCAAGGAGUCCCCAGUGUCUGUUGUUCCCUUCUUUCUUAUACUUUAAAUAUGAUAUUAAAUAAGACAAGCUCUGUGUUAGUUUCCAGAACUGCUGUAACAAAGUGCCACAACUGGGUAGGUACAAACAACAAUUUAUUCUCUUAUCAUUCCAGAGAGGGUGCAAUUAACAGCAUUUUACGUCAGUCUUUCCCCUAAACAAAACAUACUGUCCCUUUGCUAUCAACGUGUUUCCCCUAAACAAAACGUACUGUCCCUUUACUAUCGACAGCUGGCUUUCUGCAGCGUGUCAAUUGCAAACAGAGGAGGGCCCUAAGGACUAACAGGCCCAUAAGCAGUUACUGAGCAAACAAGGCUAUUUGAGGUGCAUUACUUUCUCCUGAGCUUGGUGUCAGGAAAUGGCAAUUCUGCCUUCCUAGACAAACUCUUUUACCCUGGGAGGGCUUGAGCAAGGGGCUGUGAAGGGCCUGCAGCAAGGGGAGGACUUAUGAGCACGUGAAGUGCUGAAGCCCACGUCCCCAAACACUACUUAGAAAGGGCCUUAUUUUUGGCCUCAUGCCCUUCUCCAGUUUUAUUUUCACUGAAUAGUGUCCUGAACUCUAUGACCUUUCCCAUUAACACUUGUGGCUAAAAUUACAUGGCAGAGUCCUGGUGAAGAAUGAGCUCAAGCCCUUU
rnacentral:lncRNA from 1 species